GUCCAGCUCUGCCUCUGAUGUGCUGUGUGCCCUUAGGGAAGCUGCUUCCAUUUGUUUUCUGAUCUGUAAAAUGAAGAUAACCUCGGCUUUGCGGGGGUGCGGGGGGCGGGGGAGGGGGAGCAGGGGUUAGAAUGCAGCUAUUUUCCAACAUGUUUCAGACACUGGCUCUCUCCAGGCAAAGAAAUCUCUGUCUGAGAUGGACAUCCGAGUCAUUGUUUUCAACAUAAUGGAGAAGUUCUCCUAAGUAUGGAGAUUCAGGGGCUCAGUGAGAUGCUUUGUCUGGAAGGGGCGUCUCCCCUGUCUCACCUCCAUCGCCCCAGCCCCUGUGGGGGGUCCAGUCCUCCAGGUCUCUUAUGACCUUCUGGUGGUUGAGUCCAAGUUCUCCUGGGGCCCCUGACCUCCCUUCCUGGAGAGGGUCUCUUUCACCAGUGGCCUCCUCUCCCUCCACCUGCUACCCGAGACUUGGAUCAUGCUGUUGGCCCUCCAGACUCUGCCCCUCAUCCAUUCCCUCCCGCUCCUGGAUCACCUCCUGGGCCCUCAUUCCCAGCCUUAUUGCCCAAAACACGGCGGUAGUCACGCCCGCCCUGCCCCAUGGCCUGAAGCCUGCCCACCCCACUGAGGGUCCUUCCCCCUGGGCCCUACCCCACCUCUCUUCUGUCCUUUUUACUGGAACACGCCUGGCUCCCUCUCGCUACAGAGCCUUUGGGCUGGUCCAGGGGUGCUGGGCCGCACUAGGGACGGACAUUUAAUCCUGGGAGCCUGUCAACCUCCCACGUGUAAUGAGAAGCCGCGUAUCAGCGGCUGCCCCGCCCAGAGACGCUCCUCUCGCUGGGAUGGGCCAGACGCACUCGGUGCUAUGUGACUCCGCCCCCGCCACGGCUGAUUGGUCCAGGCUGAACACCUGACCCAAGCGCUGCCCAAUGGGAUUCUCUCCCGUGAAUCUGAAGCCGGAAGAGGGAGACCUGGAGCCUGGAAAUGGGAGGGCUCGGCAGGUACUGAUGUGUGUAGGGUCGAGGGUCUCAGAGCCACGUGGGUCUCUCCCUUCCACACACUCGUUUCUCAACUCUUCCUUCAACCCAUUGUCCUCCCAGAUAACAGCCUUUUUCCUCACGCUCCUCAGACGUGGUUUCUGCUGUAGACACUCUUCUCCCUCGCAGUUGCCCGGCCAGAAUGGCAGCCCUGGACCCCAGCCUCAGCAGGUAUCCUGGGAGCCAUGAAGUGGCAGACGGAGCUGGCUGGCUGCCUUUGCCGGUCUCCAAGGCCCUCCUGCCGCUCAGAUCUGCUCCCCUCUGGAAAGAGGGCAGCGGGAGGCUGGGCAAAGGCGGUGGCCCACCCCCGUCCGGACCCUCCUUUUACCCAUCACCAGGCUGACCAGGAAGAAUCAGGAUCGCUCUGGCAGAAGGGAAGUGAAGGCUCGGAGAACCACGGGGGUCUCCACGGAGGGGACCUUGGAGCCUGGGCGGCCUCUCUUAUCCUCACCUCAACACCAAGGGCAAGGGACAGUUUCCCAAGGCCACCGGCUUCUCUGCGAAAGUCAAGUGUUCCCCUGCCGCCUCUGGGGGCACGGUCAGGAUGGGGGCAGAGGUCCAGAAGUCAAACAUAACUGUCCCGAAGGGCCAACUGGAUGUCCACGCGUGGGGAGAAGCAAAUAGACCAACAUGGGGCCACGUGAGACCCCAUCUCCCACCCCUGAGCUUCUUUGGCCAUCAGGCACCCAGCUGAGCUGACUGUUGGCGGCAUCUGGGGUGAGUGCUCACUGGGGCUUUGACCUGGGUGAGGGUGGGGACCCUUCUCUGAGGAAAGGCCUGCCUUCGCUCAACUCUGAGGGGCUGCCGAGAGGUUGAAUGAAGAACGUGUCAGCAGAAGGAACUACCUUCUACAGACCUCUGACUGUCACUCUGCUGUUGAUUUCACUAACGUAGACAGUUUCCAAAGAGGCCUGAUUGGCCCCCAGCCUCAGUUUCCUGAUUUGUAAUGCGGAGGUCUGGCUCUCCCAGCACUGACCCUUCCCUGCCUUCUGUAGCUGAGGGCGGGGGGCUGGGUUCUGGGUGCUCCUGCCCUGCUGGCCUGGAGUCUGUGCCUGAGGACACGUGGGAAGCGGCCAGAGGUGGGCGUGUGCCAAGGCUGCUGCUGGCGCUCCCUCUGGCUGCCUCAGGGCGAUGAAAGGAGCUGACGGCUUGGCAGCGGCUCUCAGGGAAGGCAGCAGCCGGGCUGGCGGCCCGGCCAUGGGGAUGGUGGGAGGGGCUCCCCGGGAGGAGAACAAAGCACUGAGGGUGCUGGGCUCCAGGGGCAACCAAAAGAGGUGGGAGGGAGGGAGUGGGCAGAGUUCUGGGGCUGAUUUGGAGUGGGUGGCCCACACGAGGACCAUGGCACAAGGGGGGACGUUUGGGUGCAGGAAGUGCAGCCCACCUCAUGGCUUUGUGAGCCCAGAAGGGUAACUUAGCCUCUCUGAGCCUCAGUUUGCACACCUGCUCAACAGGAACAACAAUACCGACAUGGCAGUUCACUGCUGUGCCCUAGUGUUUACAAAAGGGUGUGGCACAAAGUAGGUGCUCAAUAAAUAUUUUUGGAAUUAAUGUAUAAACAUGGAAGAUGGAGGAUGGGAUGGGUGAAUCCAUGCUUAGCAGGAUGCCUGGCACAUAGUAGUUCUAGAUAAGCAAUAGCUUUGUGGGGUUUUUUCUUUCUUUUCUUUCUUAUUCUUUUUUAUUUAUUUACUUUUAAUUGUUUAAAUUUUUUUUUUUUUUUUUAACCAGGGGCAGAGGAUUGAGCUAGCAUGGAAUCCCAAAGCCAAUAAGAAGGAAGUUGGUAGGUGUGUUUGGAGAGUAGGGUGGAGGUGGGGCAUGGAACAAGACUGGAGAUGCCCCCAGGACAAAACAUGCAAAGCCACAGCCAGGAGGCUGGACUCUGUCCUGGGAGCAGGGGGAAAAGCCCAGAUGGCUGGGGGUGAGCGGGACAGUGACAGACACCAGGAGGCCACUGGUGACCCUGCCUGGCCUGAGAAGAGGGCCAGGGAGGCGGGGGAGCAGAGGCAGCACGUGUGGAGGCCUUUUUCAGGAACGUUGGUUGAGAAGGGGAACGAGAUGGGCAGUGGCGGCAGGGUGGUGGGGAAGGUGCAGAGGUCUCAUGUCUCAGGUCAGGAGACACGAGAAGGUAGAAAUGCAGGUGGAGAGAUGCUUGUCCGCUGGGGGUGCCUGAAGAUGUAGAAAUGCAGGGACUGGCUAGAGGGCUCCCUGGAAGAGGCAGAGGUGGGGGGCAGCCCCUGAGAGGGGGCUUUGGGACGGGCUGCAGCGUUAGGUUUAGGCCAGGAGGGUUCCCAUGGUUCUGUGGGCUACAAAGACUGGGCAUCUUUCAGGCAGGAGGUAGAGAGCUUCAGGCAGGGCAGGGGGCAGGUCUUGGGGGGACGAGGCAUGCUGGAGGGUCAGAAUGCUCUGGCGGACCAUGGGAAGUCCCAGCUCAGAGAGACCACCCUGCAGGGAAGCGACUGCUUCUGUUACACAGGGCAGGGCAGAGCUGCCAGCCAAGGCAAUGGGCAGGUGGGAGCCCUGUGGGUCCAGCGGUCCUUUGGGAGAUGCAGGUAGACAGUGUUUGUAGGGCCAAGCCCUCCCAGUGGCUGCCUGGACCCUGAGCAGGUGUUCUGGGGCAGCAUCCUUGUUGACAGGAGCGAUCGCUGCAAUUGAUUUAGUGAUGUCUGCUCGGGGCACGCAAUGGAAGGUGUAGGGCUUGAACUGUUUCUGUGCCACCCCUCUGGCCCCUGCAGCAGCAAAGAGCCAGAGGCAAGGGAUGGGCCGGUGCCAGAAUGGGUGUCACUCCAGCUCUACCAGGGACUCAAGGUGUGACUUUGGGCAAGUCCAUUCUCAGCUCCCACGUGUCAUCUGUAAACUGGAAAUAACAAUGCCACAUUCCAUGUGAUGACGAGGAUUUAAAGCGCUGUCUGUGUGCUUAAACACAGCAGGUUUGUCACCUUUGUGACAGGCUGCAGCAGCAGGGCGGUGUUGGGGGCACUGGGAUGCUGCAUGAGUGAUGUUCACUGGGGAGGUGGCCUGGGGACUGCAUGGCCACACGCAUCUUUCCUGUCCCCUCAGCUGUCUACAGACCACUCACUGGCAGGGAGGGAAGCCCAUGGAGGUUGGGGUCAUUGCAGUCCUUUUGGCCAGGUCACCCAACAGCUCCAACCUCACUUUAAAAUAAGACAAAGUGGAGUUCCCGUCAUGGCUCAGUGGUUAACGAAUCUGACUAGGAACCAUGAGGUUGCGGGUUCGAUCCCUGGCCUUGCUCAGUGGGUUAAGGAUCCGGCGUUGCCCUGAGCUGUGGUGUAGGUCACAGACGCGGCUCAGAUCCCACGUUGCUGUGGCUCUGGCGUAGGCCAGCGGCUACAGCUCCGAUUAGACCCCUAGCCUGGGAACCUCCAUAUGCCAUGGGAGUGGCCCAAGAAAUAGCAAAAAG
rnacentral:lncRNA from 1 species